GAAAUAUCCUGAUAUAACCACCUGAAUCCUGCUCCGGAAAUCCUGUCGCCCAACUUCCCUUCGCCAUGUCUCCUCCAGUCUCUCCUCUAAACUCUAUAAACUACAAUUAAAGCCCCGAAAUCCAAGCUUCCUUCCAGCCGGUUACCUGCAGGACAACUUCCGGGUUCAUGUCCGCUGUCUCCGCCCACAAGAGAGACGCCAUAAUGACUCUUGCAGCCCCAGCGCCGUUUGCCAGUGAGGUCCUUUUCCUCCACACUGACAGGGCAGGGAGCUGUGGUUGCUGCUGAAGGGCCGAGGGGACCAUGUGGCGAGGCGUCCAUCUGGGGUAACCUGAGUAAACGCAGGGUUCAAGUCUCCUCCAGUAGCAUGCUCCUCUUGCCAAGCUGCUGUCUGCAACCCACCGUGUCCACUAUCACCACCUUCAUCUCCAAAUGCGUUACUUCAUGGGUGAUCUGAACUACUGGGAGCAGGCUUGAUUGAACACAGUCUGACUGCUGCAGGAAGGAAGGACCUCCUUCAAACAUCGUGGGUGAAGCAGUCUGUCCCUGAAGGAGCUGCCGGUGAUGGUCCUGUUUCCUGCAGGGGGUGGGAGAUGUCCUCCAUGAUAGACAACAGCUUUGUCAUCAUCCUCCUGUCUAACACCAGCCCAGGACAGAGCUUGCUUUCUUAACCAGUUUCUUUAGUCUCUUCCUGUCUGCAGCCGUGAUGCUGCUGCUCCAGCAGACCACUCCAUACAGGAUGGCUGAUACCACCACACAACCAUAAAAGGUCCUCAGAAUUGCUCCCUGCACCCCGAAGGACCUCAGUUUCCUGAGCAGGUGAAGUCUGUUCUGACCUUUCUUACACCGUGCGUUGGUGUUCUAUCUCUAGACAUGUUUGAAUGUCUUUAUCAAUAAAUGGUCAAACACAUGUUGAGUGUCAGCUCAGCUCUUUGUUCCACACAUGUAUAUGUUCCUAUGUGAUUGGUGUCUUGCAGUCAGAGUGUAAAGAAUUGAAGGUGUCAGAGGCUUUCUGUGGUGAAGAGGCUGCAGGACAUCAGCUGCUCCAACAGGUGACGCCUUUGUUCUUUGGCUCCAACCAGAACCAGCAAUAAAUCAGCAUGAGCUGCAGCUUAUCCACCUCAUAGAGUGUAUAAUAAAGAAAUCAAGAGGUUUUAGUUGAUAGCUGUCUCUAGUGAAUGACCAGCAGUGUCUUGUUCAGGUUGUGAUGAGAAGUAAAAAGCUUACAACAGCUGGUAUUCCCAGGUAGUCUCCCAUCCAAAUACUAACCAGGCCCAACCCUGCUUAGCUUCGCAGAUCAGAUGAGAUUGGGUGUAUUCAGUCUCAGAAACAAACCUACAAUUUAAGUUCUGUACCUCACAUGAUUCAAAUCUCCACUCACACCUUUUAUUUGUCCUUUGAUUGCUCCAGUACUGGUUGAUGCCAUCAUUUAAGCCAAUUUACAACAACACCUUGUAGGAAAUGUGGUGCAGAGGUAAGUUCUGUGCCUCACAUGUUGAAGGUCCAUGGUUCAAAUCCCCACUCACACUUUUUAUGUGUCCUUUGGAUGCUCCAGUACUAAUUGCUAGCAUCAUUUAAGCAAAGUUAGAGUAACAUCUUGUAGGACAGGUGGUGUAGAGGUAAGUUUUUUGUCUGGCAUGUUGAAGGU